rnacentral:rRNA from 1 species
AUGCAGAACCUUGUCUCUAAUGCUCAAAGCGCCUUCAUCAAGAAGAGAAGCAUCCAUGAUAAUUUCACGUAUGUGAGAAGCUUGGCAAGGAAAUUCCACCGCAACAAGACGCCAACGCUACUAUUCAAACUUGACAUCAAGAAAGCUUUUGACUCCGUGCGGUGGGAUUUUCUCUUGGAUCUUCUAAGGCACUUGGGCUUCCCGAGCAGAUUUCGUGACUGGGUUUCGGCACUCCUUUCCACAUCCUCCUCAAGGGUCUUGAUCAACGGAAUUUUGGGUGACCCUCUGAAGCAUGGCCGCGGUCUUAGGCAAGGUGACCCGCUCUCCCCGUUACUGUUCGUGCUGGCAAUUGACCCCCUGCACCAUCUCCUAAACAAGGCUACAUCCCAAGGGCAUCUCCAUCCUCUCUGUGGUAGGGCAACGAUCAUCCGUGCCUCUCUUUAUGCUGAUGAUGCAGCCAUCUUUAUCAAGCCCAUCAAGGAGGACAUCCAGUUUUUUGCUUCUGUCCUGGCUUCCUUUGGAGAGGUUACCGGUUUAGUCACUAACUGUGCUAAAAGCCUUGUCGCCCCGAUUCGUUGUGAAAGUGUCGAUCUUCAAGACAUUCUUCAUGCUUUUCCGACUGUCUGCAUGUCCUUUCCAAUGAGAUAUCUUGGACUACCAUUAUCGGUCAAGCGCCUCAAGAGGAUCCACUUUCAGCACCUUGAGGAUAAGGUGGCUGGCAAACUCCCUCCGUGA